UACGAAGGGGGCUAGCGUUGCUCGGAAUCACUGGGCGUAAAGCGCACGUAGGCGGCUUGUUAAGUCAGGGGUGAAAUCCUGGAGCUCAACUCCAGAACUGCCUUUGAUACUGGCGAGCUUGAGUUCGGGAGAGGUGAGUGGAACUGCGAGUGUAGAGGUGAAAUUCGUAGAUAUUCGCAAGAACACCAGUGGCGAAGGCGGCUCACUGGCCCGAUACUGACGCUGAGGACGAAA
rnacentral:rRNA from 1 species